rnacentral:rRNA from 1 species
GAUGAACGCUGGCGGCGUGCCUAAUACAUGCAAGUCGAGCGAACGGACGAGAAUCUUGCUUUUCUCAUGUUUGCGGCGGACGUGUGAGUAACACGUGGAUAAUCUACCUAUAAUACUGGGACAACUUCGGGAAACCGGAGCUAAUACCGGAUAAUAUUUUGAACCGCAUUGUUCAAAAGUGAAAGACGGUCUUGCUGUCACUUAUCGAUGGAUCCGCGCUGCUUUAGCUAGUUGGUAAGGUAACGGAUUACCAAGGCAACGAUGCGUAGCCGACCUGAGAGGAUGAUGAGCCGCAUUGGAACUGAGACCGGGUCCAGGCUCCUACGGGAGGCAGCAAUAGGGAGUCUUCCGCCAUGGGCGAAAGCCUGACGGAGCAACGCCGCGUGAGGGAUGAAGAUCUUCGGAUCGUAAAUCUCUGUUAUUAGGGAGGAACAUAUGUGUAAGUAACUCUGCACAUCUUGACGGUACCUAAGCAGAGAGCCACGGCUAACUACGUG